rnacentral:tRNA from 1 species
GUGCCCGUAGCUUAAUGGAUAAAGCAUCGGCCCCCGGAGCCGAGGAGUGGAGGUUCAAUUCCUCUCGGGCACG